GAUGAACGCUGGCGGCGUGCUUAACACAUGCAAGUCGAACGAGAAAUGUAGACGGAAACCUUCGGGCGGAAGCCUUCAUUUCGAGUGGCGGACGGGUGAGUAACGCGUGGGUAACCUGCCUCAUACAGGGGGAUAACAGUUGGAAACGACUGUUAAUACCGCAUAAGACCACAGCAUCGCAUGAUGCGGGGGUAAAAACUCCGGUGGUAUGAGAUGGACCCGCGUUCGAUUAGCCAGUUGGCGGGGUAACGGCCCACCAAAGCGACGAUCGAUAGCCGAUCUGAGAGGAUGACCGGCCACAUUGGGACUGAGACACGGCCCAAACUCCUACGGGAGGCAGCAGAGGGGAAUAUUGCACAAUGGGGGAAACCCUGAUGCAGCGACGCCGCGUGAGUGAAGAAGUACUUCGGUAUGUAAAGCUCUAUCAGCAGGGAAGAAAAUGACGGUACCUGAGUAAGAAGCCCCGGCUAACUACGU
rnacentral:rRNA from 1 species